rnacentral:rRNA from 1 species
GAAUAUGGGGGGACCAUCCUCCAAGGCUAAAUACUCCUGACUGACCGAUAGUGAACCAGUACCGUGAGGGAAAGGCGAAAAGAACCCCGGCGAGGGGAGUGAAAAAGAACCUGAAACCGUGUACGUACAAGCAGUGGGAGCCCCACCACCAAAGCAUUUGCUGUACCGCGUUGACGGAGCGAAGCGACGUCAAACCGAUAAAACAGCAGUGUAAAGUGAGCCGCAGGGCGCUUUGCGCGACAGCGCAAAGGCAGGCGGUUUCGCGUAGCGAAAGCGAAUGCUUUGGGGUGGGGUGACUGCGUACCUUUUGUAUAAUGGGUCAGCGACUUAUAUUCUGUAGCAAGGUUAACCGAAUAGGGGAGCCGGAGGGAAACCGAGUCUUAAUUGGGCGUUAAGUUGCAGGGUAUAGACCCGAAACCCGGUGAUCUAGCCAUGGGCAGGUUGAAGGUUGGGUAACACUAACUGGAGGACCGAACCGACUAAUGUUGAAAAAUUAGCGGAUGACCUGUGGCUGGGGGUGAAAGGCCAAUCAAACCGGGAGAUAGCUGGUUCUCCCCGAAAGCUAUUUAGGUAGCGCCUCGUGAAUUCAUCUCCGGGGGUAGAGCACUGUUUCGGCUAGGGGGCCAUCCCGGCUUACCAACCCGAUGCAAACUGCGAAUACCGGAGAAUGUUAUCACGGGAGACACACGGCGGGUGCUAACGUCCGUCGUGAAGAGGGAAACAACCCAGACCGCCAGCUAAGGUCCCAAAGUCAUGGUUAAGUGGGAAACGAUGUGGGAAGGCCCAGACAGCCAGGAUGUUGGCUUAGAAGCAGCCAUCAUUUAAAGAAAGCGUAAUAGCUCACUGGUCGAGUCGGCCUGCGCGGAAGAUGUAACGGGGCUAAACCAUGCACCGAAGCUGCGGCAGCGACACUGUGUGUUGUUGGGUA